rnacentral:rRNA from 1 species
CGAGAAGACCCUAUGGAGCUUAAGACACUAAAGCAGCCCAUGUUAAAACACCCCUAGAAGGACUAAAACCUAAUGAACCCUGCCCUGAUGUCUUUGGUUGGGGCGACCAAGG